rnacentral:rRNA from 1 species
GAUGAACGCUGGCGGCGUGCCUAAUACAUGCAAGUCGAGCGAACGGACGAGAAGCUUGCUUCUCUGAUGUUAGCGGCGGACGGGUGAGUAACACGUGGAUAACCUACCUAUAAGACUGGGAUAACUUCGGGAAACCGGAGCUAAUACCGGAUAAUAUUUUGAACCGCAUGGUUCAAAAGUGAAAGACGGUCUUGCUUUCACUUAUAGAUGGAUCCGCGCUGCAUUAGCUAGUUGGUAAGGUAACGGCUUACCAAGGCAACGAUGCAUAGCCGACCUGAGAGGGUGAUCGGCCACACUGGAACUGAGACACGGUCCAGACUCCUACGGGAGGCAGCAGUAGGGAAUCUUCCGCAAUGGGCGAAAGCCUGACGGAGCAACGCCGCGUGAGUGAUGAAGGUCUUCGGAUCGUAAAGCUCUGUUAUUAGGGAAGAACAUAUGUGUAAGUAACUGUGCACAUCUUGACGGUACCUAAUCAGAAAGCCACGGCUAACUACGU